CACUCUCUCUCUCCCUCUCUCUCCCUCUCUCUCUCUCUCCCUCUCUCUCUCUCUCUCUCUUUCGGGCAGAGAGAAGAAACCCACGCGCGCACGCGGUGAUGUCUUACGGGUGAUAAUUGGCCCAGGGGUCGGGUCUGACGGGAACAGAAAGUUUUGAGGGAGUUUACUGCUGAUGCAAGGUGACUGGUUGGAUAAAGAAGUCCAAAGUUAUUUUUUUAUCUGUAGAACAAAUAAAGCCUGGCCAAAGGUUUGAAGCCUCUGAGAGCCAGGCCCAGGCUGUGUCCAUCCAUAACCCUGCGACAUGCACGCCACAGAAUAGGCUGUUUGGCUGAGUGAGGAGCGCAUCAAAGGGAACACUUUCCAUUUGCUCCCUAAGAGACACUACAUGAUAUACCAAGAGUAAUGGCGGGAUACUCUGUGAUUAUCAUUACUUUUAAAAUAUUUAUUUAUUUUUGAGGGAGGGUCUUACUAUGUAGACCUGGCUAGCCUUAAACUCAGAGAGAGCUGCCUGCCUCUGCCUCUUGAGUUCUGAGAUUAAAGGCAUGAACUAUCAUGCCUGGUUCAAUUAUUAUUAUUUAUUAUUUUUUUUGAGAUUUUAUAUGUGAGUGUACUGUGUUCGCAUCAUCUCUAUACCUCCUGCUCCACACUCCAACUCUUCCAAUGUCCCUUCUUCUCCAUAUCCCCCUUUAAACUCAUGUCAUCACCUUCUAUGAUCACACACACACACACACACACAGAGAGAGAGAGAGAGAGAGAGAGAGAGAGAGAGAGAGAGAGAGAGAGAGAGAGAGAGCCUAUUGAGUCCAAUUAAUAUUGCCAAUAUAUAAUUAGUCUUGGGUGACCUAGCAGGGGCUUUGUCCCUGAAGAAAACCAACUCUCUCUCUCAGUAGCUCUUCAACUAAGGGUGGAACUAAGAAUUUUAUAUCGUUCUAAAAUGGUUGCCUUAUCCAUGUUGGUCUGUGUACUAGUGUGGUCUUACAUUAGCAGUCAUAUUGUUAGGAGCUCCUAGGUGCAGUAUCUUGGUCAUGCUCAGGAGACCAAUUUUGAGAAGUUCUUUUAGUCUCUGGUUGCUACAGUCUUUCUCCCUCUCUUCUGCGAUGUUUCCUGAGCCCUGUGUGUAGGAGUUCUGCUAGAGAUUCCCAUUUGGUGAUAAGAACUCCAUGGUCACUCAAGUGAAUUAAUAAAGCAUAACUAUAACUAUAACUGUA